rnacentral:rRNA from 1 species
UGGGGGGCUCCAGCAGUCGAGCGGAACGAGUUAACUGACCCUUCGGGUGACGUUAACGGCGUCGAGCGGCGGACGGGUGAGUAAUGCCUGGGAAUAUGCCUUGAUGUGGGGGAUAACCAUUGGAAACGAUGGCUAAUACCGCAUAAUGCCUUCGGGCCAAAGAGGGGGACCUUCGGGCCUCUCGCGUCAAGAUUAGCCCAGGUGGGAUUAGCUAGUUGGUGAGGUAAUGGCUCACCAAGGCGACGAUCCCUAGCUGGUCUGAGAGGAUGAUCAGCCACACUGGAACUGAGACACGGUCCAGACUCCUACGGGAGGCAGCAGUGGGGAAUAUUGCACAAUGGGCGCAAGCCUGAUGCAGCCAUGCCGCGUGUGUGAAGAAGGCCUUCGGGUUGUAAAGCACUUUCAGUCGUGAGGAAGGUGGUGUAGUUAAUAGCUGCAUCAUUUGACGUUAGCGACAGAAGAAGCACCGGCUAACUCCGUGCCAGCAGCCGCGGUAAUACGGAGGGUGCGAGCGUUAAUCGGAAUUACUGGGCGUAAAGCGCAUGCAGGUGGUUCGUUAAGUCAGAUGUGAAAGCCCGGGGCUCAACCUCGGAACUGCAUUUGAAACUGGCGGACUAGAGUACUGUAGAGGGGGGUAGAAUUUCAGGUGUAGCGGUGAAAUGCGUAGAGAUCUGAAGGAAUACCAGUGGCGAAGGCGGCCCCCUGGACAGAUACUGACACUCAGAUGCGAAAGCGUGGGGAGCAAACAGGAUUAGAUACCCUGGUAGUCCACGCCGUAAACGAUGUCUACUUGGAGGUUGUGGCCUUGAGCCGUGGCUUUCGGAGCUAACGCGUUAAGUAGACCGCCUGGGGAGUACGGUCGCAGAUUAAAACUCAAAUGAAUUGACGGGGCCCGCACAGCGGUGAGCAUG